rnacentral:rRNA from 1 species
UACGAAGGGGGCUAGCGUUGUUCGGAAUUACUGGGCGUAAAGCGCGUGUAGGCGGGUCUUUAAGUCAGGGGUGAAAUGCCAAGGCUCAACCUUGGAACUGCCUUUGAUACUGGAGACCUUGAGUCCGGGAGAGGUGAGUGGAAUUGCGAGUGUAGAGGUGAAAUUCGUAGAUAUUCGCAAGAACACCAGUGGCGAAGGCGGCUCACUGGCCCGAUACUGACGCUGAGG